CAGCUCUCCGAGUGGUGUGGAUGUUUAUUGGGCCUAAAGCAUCCGUAGCUGGCUAAGUUAGUCCCUUGUUAAAUCCACCGAAUUAAUCGUUGGAUUGCGGGGGAUACUGCUUGGCUAGGGGACGAGAGAGGCAGACGGUAUUUCCGGGGUAGGGGUGAAAUCCUAUAAUCCCGGGAGGACCACCAGUGGCGAAGGCUGUCGACUAGAACGCGCCCGACGGUGAGGGAUGAAAGCUGGGGGAGCAAACCGGAUUAGAGACCCGAGUAGUCC
rnacentral:rRNA from 1 species